UUGUAUAACUCGUGUUUCACCUCAGCUGAACUUGACGCAUCUGGUUCACCGGCGGCGCGAGUCGCACGGCGCAGUCUGCUGUGUGUCCCCACUGAACCGAGCUGCAUGGCCGGCCGAGAGAGACGCGGAGAAAGAAAGGGGGGAAACGCAACACUUUCGUGACAUAGCAGCGGCUCUCGGAGACCGAGUCACGGGAUGACUCCUCCACAUCUCAGUCUGCAAAUAUCGUCCCUUUCUUGCUUUUUUAAUUUCCUGCUGUUUCGUGGCUCCAGACACAAAAAGGAAGACGAGUCACCGUGGGCUAAAGGAAAUAUAAAGCCGGCCGACUUGGACACGCCGGAGCAGACCAUCCAACUUGAACUUGAGACGAAUCGGUGCCACAUCGAGGAGAACGAGAACCCACAGGGCCUCAGACAUUGUAAAGCAGAGAGGAUAUGUGGACAUACUGUGUGCAGCCGCGGAUGGGUCCAGCACAGCCGCUUCAUCCAGGAUAGCUCAUUGCUGUGGUGUGGGACAGUUACUUCAAAGUCUCAGUGGAGUCAUUACUUGGGAGUGACUUUAUUUUUCCGUGCCAGACAUUGAUAUCAAGCAUCGAGACGAGGAAACCUGAGAGGAGGCGAGUUGACAGACCGCACAGACCUGCUCAGGGAAGAUGACCUGCCAAGCUCAAGUGACAUGCAGAGGAAGUGUUUUGAGUGUAUUUUGUUUUGUUUUUUAAUUACCACACAUUUCGCAUAUUAAGCCUCUCCUUUAAAUGUAUAAAAAAAAAAAUAAGGAACCUCAUGAUCAGCUGGGGCCUUUCUGCAUGGAUGUCCUCCAUGUGCCUGUGUGGGUUUUUCUGGGUACUUUCCUCCCACAGUGCAUCUUAAGUUGGGUAAAUAGUGAUUAUAAAUGUGUCUGUGGAUGUGAUUGUGAGAUGUUGUUGUGUGUCUGCGUGUGUUAAACCUCUGAUAGAUUGGCAGCUGGGUCAGGAUUUAACAAGUUUAGAAAAAAAACAAACGGAUUGAACAAAACAGAAAUAAAUAUAUGUUUCAUUUCUUAAAAUGUAAAACAAGCACUUUUUUGGACAUG
ensembl:lncRNA